ensembl:misc_RNA Y_RNA Y RNA
GGCUGGUGUUAGUGCUGUGGUAUUUACAACUAAUUGAUCACAACCAGUUACAGAUUUUUUUGUUCUUUCUCCACUCCCAGGGCUUCACUUGACUAUCCUUAA